UACGGGGGGAGCAAGCGUUGUUCGGAUUUACUGGGCGUAAAGGGCGCGUAGGCGGUCAGCACAAGUCAGUUGUGAAAUCUCCGGGCUUAACUCGGAAAGGUCAACUGAUACUGUCGGGCUAGAGUGCGGAAGAGGCGAGUGGAAUUCCUGGUGUAGCGGUGAAAUGCGCAGAUAUCAGGAGGAACACCGAUUGCGAAGGCAGCUCGCUGGGACGUCACUGACGCUGAGACGCGAAAGCGUGGGGAGCAAACAGG
rnacentral:rRNA from 1 species